AGAGUUUGAUCCUGGCUCAGGACGAACGCUGGCGGCGUGCCUAAUACAUGCAAGUCGAACGCUUCUUUUUCCACCGGAGCUUGCUCCACCGGAAAAAGAGGAGUGGCGAACGGGUGAGUAACACGUGGGUAACCUGCCCAUCAGAAGGGGAUAACACUUGGAAACAGGUGCUAAUACCGUAUAACAAUCAAAACCGCAUGGUUUUGAUUUGAAAGGCGCUUUCGGGUGUCGCUGAUGGAUGGACCCGCGGUGCAUUAGCUAGUUGGUGAGGUAACGGCUCACCAAGGCCACGAUGCAUAGCCGACCUGAGAGGGUGAUCGGCCACAUUGGGACUGAGACACGGCCCAAACACCUACGGGAGGCAGCAGUAGGGAAUCUUCGGCAAUGGACGAAAGUCUGACCGAGCAACGCCGCGUGAGUGAAGAAGGUUUUCGGAUCGUAAAACUCUGUUGUUAGAGAAGAACAAGGAUGAGAGUAACUGUUCAUCCCUUGACGGUAUCUAACCAGAAAGCCACGGCUAACUACGUGCCAGCAGCCGCGGUAAUACGUAGGUGGCAAGCGUUGUCCGGAUUUAUUGGGCGUAAAGCGAGCGCAGGCGGUUUCUUAAGUCUGAUGUGAAAGCCCCCGGCUCAACCGGGGAGGGUCAUUGGAAACUGGGAGACUUGAGUGCAGAAGAGGAGAGUGGAAUUCCAUGUGUAGCGGUGAAAUGCGUAGAUAUAUGGAGGAACACCAGUGGCGAAGGCGGCUCUCUGGUCUGUAACUGACGCUGAGGCUCGAAAGCGUGGGGAGCAAACAGGAUUAGAUACCCUGGUAGUCCACGCCGUAAACGAUGUCGACUUGGAGGUUGUGCCCUUGAGGCGUGGCUUCCGGAGCUAACGCGUUAAGUCGACCGCCUGGGGAGUACGGCCGCAAGG
rnacentral:rRNA from 1 species